rnacentral:rRNA from 1 species
GUGGGGAAUAUUGCACAAUGGGGGAAACCCUGAUGCAGCGACGCCGCGUGAAGGAAGAAGGCUUUCGGGUUGUAAACUUCUUUUGUCAGGGACGAAAAAAAUGACGGUACCUGACGAAUAAGCCACGGCUAACUACGUGCCAGCAGCCGCGGUAAUACGUAGGUGGCAAGCGUUAUCCGGAUUUACUGGGUGUAAAGGGCGUGUAGGCGGGAAAGCAAGUCAGAUGUGAAAACUAUGGGCUCAACCCAUAGCCUGCAUUUGAAACUGUUUUUCUUGAGUACUGGAGAGGCAGAUGGAAUUCCUAGUGUAGCGGUGAAAUGCGUAGAUAUUAGGAGGAACACCAGUGGCGAAGGCGAUCUGCUGGACAGCAACUGACGCUGAGGCGCGAAAGCGUGGGGAGCAAACAGGAUUAGAAACCCGUGUAGUCC